GAUGAACGCUGGCGGCGUGCUUAACACAUGCAAGUCGAACGGUGAAGGAGAGCUUGCUCUCCGGAUCAGUGGCGAACGGGUGAGUAACACGUGAGCAAUCUGCCCCUGACUCUGGGAUAAGCGCUGGAAACGGCGUCUAAUACCGGAUACGAGCUGCGAAGGCAUCUUCAGCAGCUGGAAGGAAUUUCGGUCAGGGAUGAGCUCGCGGCCUAUCAGCUAGUUGGUGAGGUAACGGCUCACCAAGGCGUCGACGGGUAGCCGGCCUGAGAGGGUGACCGGCCACACUGGGACUGAGACACGGCCCAGACUCCUACGGGAGGCAGCAGUGGGGAAUAUUGCACAAUGGGCGAAAGCCUGAUGCAGCAACGCCGCGUGAGGGACGACGGCCUUCGGGUUGUAAACCUCUUUUAGCAGGGAAGAAGCGAAAGUGACGGUACCUGCAGAAAAAGCACCGGCUAACUACGUGCCAGCCGCCGCAGUAAUAC
rnacentral:rRNA from 1 species